rnacentral:piRNA from 1 species
GNGACGUGCUGGGUUGCUUGUGCGAGGAG